UACGGGGGGUGCAAGCGUUGUUCGGAAUUACUGGGCGUAAAGGGCUCGUAGGCGGCCAACUAAGUCAGACGUGAAAUCCCUCGGCUUAACCGGGGAACUGCGUCUGAUACUGGAUGGCUUGAGUUUGGGAGAGGGAUGCGGAAUUCCAGGUGUAGCGGUGAAAUGCGUAGAUAUCUGGAGGAACACCGGUGGCGAAGGCGGCAUCCUGGACCGGUAUUGACGCUGAGGAGCGAAAGCUAGGGGAGCAAACGGG
rnacentral:rRNA from 1 species